AUCCAUUUUUGACCACAAGAGCAAUUUUGAGUGAAAGUAUUAAUAAUAAGAGCACUUUUGAGCCAAACUAUAUUGAAAGGUUUAAGGGCAUUUUUGAUCAUUUUUACUUAGUUUAUCACUUUUUGUAAGGGUAGAUAUAUUUAUAUAUGUAGGAUUGGUAGAGAGAUUUGAAGUUAUAAUGGAGAGAUGAAAAAUCUAAUUGGAUAUGGAGUCGCUUGUCUGUGUAAGAGAGAUAUACAUGUUUGUGUUUGAGAGUUAAUUAAUUGGAAGGAAAAAAUGAGUGUGAUGUGAUGGGGAGCAAGAUCGAUCAAUCCCCUGACAGGAUUGAGGCAUAAAUUGGAAUUGAUUGAAUGAGUGCGUUGCCAUAUUCUCAUUAUAGAUGCGUGCCCAACAACUAUUCUCUGUAAACGUUGGUAAUAUCUGUGGACCUCGAUUGUUACCGGUUGAUCUGAUGAGAAGUUUAUUUCCUUCCUGGACAAUGCACGAUACUCGAAUUGAUUGUUACAUUGAAAUCGUUGCUCCAUAUGUUCAACAUUUAAAGAUUUCUGGGGAUUUUGUUGGUGUGGAAGUUAGGCUUGGACACCUGUCGUCUUUGAUCCAGGCUCAUCUUACCUACGAAUUAUACGACUUCCGUGUAUCUGGUGAAGUAAUUGACAAAAGCAUAGCAUGUGCUAACGAGCUAAUCAUCCCAUCCUGGUACAUCAAGGUACCUCUUCGGGUGACUUCAAUGUAGGGAAAUCGUCAACAGGUCCUAUUGUGUUUGCUGGGGUUAAAAAAUGAUUUACAGAUAUUCCUUUCUCUCGUAGCUCGACUUUCCUAACAGGCCUCUGCCGGCACGACAGGAAGUAGUAAAUCACACACUAAAUUGCACGAGAGGAGGGAGUACUGUUAUAUAGUAUGGUGAUUUCCAUGAUAAUCCUGCAAAAGAAGAAGUUUCAUUACAAAUGUACCUUCCUUGGCAUCCAUAGACUCUUAAAUUUAACUCCUUGUCUAGAGAAUUUGACAAUACAUCCUAAAGAGGUUCGUAUGCAUGUUUUCAACUGAUUUGAUUCUUCGAGAUACUUUUGUUUCGUUUUCACUCAUUUUGUUUCAUGUGUCAGAGGUGUGUUUGAUAUAGAGUUCUGCAUUUUAUGUGUGAACCUUAAGUAGUUGUUGUUUUGUUUGGCAUAAAAGUGUUACUAUUACACUCCCAUUCAUCUACUACAACUUCAACUUCUAUGUUACUCUAAAUGCUUAUUAUCUCAUAUUAGUUUAACAUGUUCCCAUAAAGUAUAUCUCAUAAAAAUGUACUGAAUCUUCUUAAUGAAAGACCUCGUCUAUCAAUAUUUAUUUCUGAAAAGUGUUGAUCUAUGUUGUUAAAUUUUUGCCCCGUAAUUGAUUAUAUCCUGUUUUGUGGUUCUCCUGUAUCCGCACUUUCUUAAAGCAAUGGUGUGAACACAUGGAUGUGUUGGAACACAACUACGAAAACAUAUUCAUACGGUCUUUGCAGAAUCUGAAAACCUAAAAGGUUAUUUUACAGAGGAAUCUCUACAAAGACGAUGAAUCGACAGAGCUUAUUGAACUGAUGAAACGUUUGCUUGAGCAUGCAAAAUACUUGGAGAAACUGGUUAUAGAGACAGAGAACCGGGGUUGUUCCCAGUAUAUUUUGUUCAAUAUAAUUAUUGCGAGUAGUUUACAAGUACGAUCUUUUCAAUAUAUCACUCCUUGCAAUC